UCAUUAUGUACAAGAGGCAUGCAGGGUGGGUGAGAUAAAAUAAUUGGUAGCAACAUUUCUCCAUUGGUGAGCAAAGGCCAACACAGCAGUUUAAACCCCAGAGCCCUUGGGCAGAACCCUAGAAAAUUUUCAGUUAUUAGCAAUGCCUUUUGGUAGGUGAAUAAAUGAACUCCUGAAUGGUCUUGAUGUAACUGCUGUGAGUGUAAACAUAUGUGAAAGGAGAGAAAGCAAUCAUACAAAAACCAUGAUGACUGGAAUUUGUUGUCAUUUCUUCUCUUAAAAUAUUUCCACUCAUUGAAUGCUGCUUUCUUGCAUGGUAGAGUGGAUCACAGGAAAUGCGUUAUUGAUUACGUUAUUGUAAAUUGUUUACAGGUGAGAGAUAUUUUGUGUUAUUGCUUGUGCAGAAUCCAACAGUCGUGAGAUAAAAGGCUGAGUGGGAAUUUCACUUGAUGAAGCACAUCAGAUACUCUUCUGUUGUGGGCUGCCAGUAGUGCAGCGGAAAUGCCAAAAGGGGAGGUAUUAGGUGCAAAAUUCACAGCAACUGCAGCCUGCAUUUCUGGAACUGGACAGCAUGAAUCAGACGUGGUGCAAGAGACGAGCCAAGCCUUCAGAAGCAGGUGCUGGAGGCUUUCAGAGUCCACAAUUUAUCAUCCUAACAUAUUCCAGAGAAAAUCACUGCAGAGUUGCACAUUUGUCAUGGCUUUCUUUUUUUUUUUAAGAAGAAACUGUAAAAAGUUGCUUUUGCAUAUUCAAAAAUGCCUUUGAAACCAUUUGUGCAAAGAAGGAAGUAGCUGCAGAGAAUCAUUUCAGACACUUCAGUUUUCAGUGGAGAUGCAUAAAAUGCUGAGAGAAGGCUGAACUGGUGGUGGGGUGAGCAUUCUUUAGAAACAGUACAAAAUAACACUGAACCAUCAUGUUGAACAUGCAGGGCCUAACUGCAGAAACCUGCUGAGGUCAAUUAAAAUCUUGAUAUUAAUUUUCAUAGGUUUCAGAUUAACCUCAUCUUUAUUUUGUGGAAUUAUAUUAUGAUGGAUUUAUUUUAUCCUCAGGCUUACAAGCUUCUGUCUUCACACUUAUUGUUAAGUCUUCCAAUAACGCUGGUUUUAAUUUGGCGUUCAAGUUCUAUUCCUCCCUGUGACAAAUAUGUAUAUAACACAGCUAAAAGCCAGGAAAUGGUUACCUGAAGAUGGUGUUUUAAAGAAGAAAUGGAUGCCUGAAGAAAUAUUCUAAAAUGCCAGGUUUUGUCUGAUGGAAAUAUGUUGUAGUUUGACUCUGAACUAUUUAAAUAAACAUCCUUUAUUAAA